rnacentral:rRNA from 1 species
AGAGACCGGCGCACGGGUGCGUAACGCGUAUGCAAUCUACCUUUUACAGAGGGAUAGCCCAGAGAAAUUUGGAUUAAUACCUCAUAGUAUAUAGCCCUGGCAUCAGGAUUAUAUUAAAGUCACAACGGUAAAAGAUGAGCAUGCGUCCCAUUAGCUAGUUGGUAAGGUAACGGCUUACCAAGGCUACGAUGGGUAGGGGUCCUGAGAGGGAGAUCCCCCACACUGGUACUGAGACACGGACCAGACUCCUACGGGAGGCAGCAGUGAGGAAUAUUGGACAAUGGGCGCAAGCCUGAUCCAGCCAUGCCGCGUGCAGGAUGACGGUCCUAUGGAUUGUAAACUGCUUUUAUACGAGAAGAAACACUCCUUCGUGAAGGAGCUUGACGGUAUCGUAAGAAUAAGGAUCGGCUAACUCCGUGCCAGCAGCCGCGGUAAUACGGAGGAUCCAAGCGUUAUCCGGAAUCAUUGGGUUUAAAGGGUCCGUAGGCGGUUUAAUAAGUCAGUGGUGAAAGCCCAUCGCUCAACGGUGGAACGGCCAUUGAUACUGUUAGACUUGAAUUAUUAGGAAGUAACUAGAAUAUGUAGUGUAGCGGUGAAAUGCUUAGAGAUUACAUGGAAUACCAAUUGCGAAGGCAGGUUACUACUAAUUGAUUGACGCUGAUGGACGAAAGCGUGGGUAGCGAACAGGAUUAGAUACCCUGGUAGUCCACGCCGUAAACGAUGGAUACUAGCUGUUGGAAGCAAUUUCAGUGGCUAAGCGAAAGUGAUA